rnacentral:rRNA from 1 species
GACGAACGCUGGCGGCGUGCUUAACACAUGCAAGUCGAGCGGUAAGGCCCUUUUGGGGGUACACGAGCGGCGAACGGGUGAGUAACACGUGGGUGACCUGCCCUCAGCUCUGGGAUAAGCCUGGGAAACUGGGUCUAAUACUGGAUAUGACCUUUCCUCGCAUGGGGUUGGGUGGAAAGUUUUUCGGCUGGGGGUGGGCCCGCGGCCUAUCAGCUUGUUGGUGGGGUGAUGGCCUACCAAGGCGACGACGGGUAGCCGGCCUGAGAGGGCGACCGGCCACACUGGGACUGAGACACGGCCCAGACUCCUACGGGAGGCAGCAGUGGGGAAUAUUGCGCAAUGGGCGGAAGCCUGACGCAGCGACGCCGCGU